AUAGAAAUGAGCUUGGUAACUAGCAUUCUUGUAGGUGGAUUUGCCAAAAUGGAAAAUGUAGACACUUUUGGGUUGCCAUUUCAAUUGUCUUCUUUGUUGCUGCUACAUUAUUUACUCUACUGAAACUUUGUGAUUUAAUCUUCCCCAGGUUGUAAAGUAUAUUUUGGUCUUAGAUAGCCAGCCAAGCUAAGCUAAGUAGAUGGAAGCAAUUGUUGAAGUUGAAGAUUGUGAAAGCGUUUAAGAUUUCUUAUUUAAGUCUUGUAUUAGGA